GACGAACCGUGCAAACGUUGUUCGGAUUCACUGGGCUUAAAGGGCGCGUAGGCGGACCACCAAGUCGGGGGUGAAAUCUUUCAGCUUAACUGGAAAAUAGCUUCCGAUACUGGUGGCCUGGAGGGAGGUAGGGGUGCGUGGAACUCAGGGUGGAGCGGUGAAAUGCGUAGAUAUCCGGAGGAACACCAGAGGCGAAGGCGGCCUGCUGGGCUGCACCUGACGCUGAGCCGCGAAAGCCAGGGGAGCGAACGGG
rnacentral:rRNA from 1 species